rnacentral:rRNA from 3 species
GCAUCGAUGAAGAACGCAGCGAACUGCGAUAAGUAAUGCGAAUUGCAGAAUUCAGCGAGCCAUCGAAUCUUUGAACGCACAUUGCGCCCGCCAGCAUUCUGGCGGGCAUGCCUGUCCGAGCGUCA